rnacentral:sRNA from 1 species
AUAACUUCGGUAGGUGAGGCUACCGUAGGGAUAUGGAUUGUUACCGCGAAAUAGUGGAGACACUAUGAGUUGGUCAGCAGGAGAUGUCGAAACCAAGGCAUAACCUAACACAAUUUCACCGCCCUACGAUGCUAAAGCUUGAACGAUGAGA